UACGGGGGGGGGCAAGCGUUGUUCGGAAUUACUGGGCGUAAAGGGCUCGUAGGCGGCCAACUAGGUCGGACGUGAAAUCCCUCGGCUUAACCGGGGAACUGCGUCCGAUACUGGAUGGCUCGAGUUUGGGAGAGGGAUGCGGAAUUCCAGGUGUAGCGGUGAAAUGCGUAGAUAUCUGGAGGAACACCGGUGGCGAAGGCGGCAUCCUGGACCAACACUGACGCUGAGGAGCGAAAGCCAGGGGAGCAAAGCGGG
rnacentral:rRNA from 1 species